GUUUCCUCAUAACAAAGAACUGACUAGAGCUACAUGACCACAAGAUGUGCUGGAAAGCAGAGCAGCACAUAACUGCCUAGGAAAUAGAACACAAUGGUACAGAAAGCUUACCUGAUCUACUUUUUUAUCUAUGCAAGAAAGGUAAAGAUGUCUAUUAAACUUCAGGAGGCUGUGACACUGAGACCAUCCUCCUGCUGACAGCAUCUGCAUUUUGGUGUUUCAUGGUCUCAAAAAGUGUAUCAACAAGUCUAACAGUAGAAAUUUCCUCAAGCAUUCCUUCUGUAAAGCUGGUAACAUCCAUUGAGGCAGUCAGACCCCACUUUAGCCUGUUCUCCAAUAUGAAAUGUUAUCCUGCAAAGUUCAGUGCUCACUGCAGUUGCAGAUGUUGCUGCUGCUUGUUGGUUUGGAAACCAGUGUUUCCAGGAGCACUGUCAGUACAGCUUGGCAAAAAUGAGGUAUGAAAUGAUGUCUAUGCACACUCUUGAAGUACACCAAAAAUUCUUAGCUACAGGUGUAAUUGCAUUGGCCUUUACAAGGUUUUCAUUAGGCAUAACUUUGAACUCCAUCUUUUCUACUAUUCUUUAUUCAAAACUCACAUGAGUAUAAAUAUACACACUGAUGACAGCUUCAUCUCUUGAACGUAGAUCCUUCUCCAGGAAAUGGAAUCCUUCCAGGGAGAAAGAGAAAGAAUUUAGAGACCUCAAUCCUCAAUGAGAAUUGGAAGCAGAAUACAUGAAGCACCUGACAUCUAUUAUAGCAGCAAGAGUGAAACACUUCAGUGAGCAAUAUUGCUGGCAUACAGGCACAUCUGUGACACGCCACCACUGUUGUAUGAUACAAGAGCACGUAAUUAAACAGCCUGUAAAACUGACCUUCUUCAGUUAUUUUAAUAUUAAAAGAUAAAGAUAGAGAGUGUUUCUUAAAAACUGACAGUACUAUCAUUUCCUUACUGAGGUUACCCUAUUAAAAAAAAAUUAUAUAUAUAUAUAUUUAAGAUAAUUACACAUGAAAAAGCUGUUCAAAAAACUGAAAGCACAUUUCAGAUACGAGCUUCAUGUAUUGGUAAUGACACGAACCCCUAAUGCCAUAUUUGUUUGUAGGGACUAUGGUCACCUAGCAGGUGCCACAAAGGUCCUUCUUAUUGUAGCUUAGAUUCACAUCAAUUACUGCAAUGUACUGCAGUAAAUUUGUUCAUAGUACUUGGUCAUACAUGGGUGCAGGCUCAUUAGCUUUCAUCCCAUCGUAUGGAUGCUUUCGCAUGUGUAAGACAGCUCAAAAAUUCAGAGGACCAUAAUCUUUUGUUGAUAUGGUUUCCCCAACACUGAUAGCACAAGAUAACUGGAAUCUUAUUAAAAAUAUGAACUCUUGAAAAUAAACCACAUAUAGUGUGAGGUCUGGGCAUUCUGGGAGCAGAUUUUUCUACUGUUCCUAUGAAAAGGCUACAAUACAUAGCCAGCAGCAAAAGCAUUAGGCAGAAUGUGUUCCCGUUGAACUGAGGCUGGAUAUCUUAUUAAAAGAAAAGUCUUCUGAAGGAGCUUAUUUGUACAGAAGCUCAAGAUUUGGUCUGAAAAGGCUGCUUCAUGGGUUAACGUAUUCACCUAUAAAUAAAAGCAGUGACAGCUCUCCUGUCAGUACAUGCUGAUGGACGGUUCCUUUUUCCACCAUUACAGCCUUGUGAAUGUGGGAAAAUUAAUUUAAGUGGUAGUUAAUUUCUAAUGAAUUCCAUUCAAGCGGUUAAUAUGGUCCCUUGAUGUUAUGGUAACCUUCAUGGAUCAUUGCAUUAUGUAAAUAAAUUCUACUUUAUGCUGGUUUAUUAAAAAAAAAAAAAAAGAGAAAAAGAAAAAAAAGAUUGGUGAGUCCAGCCAAAUCUUUGCAUAUACAAACAUGCAUAGAAUUUCCUAAAAAAUCACUUAAAAUAGACUGCUCAAGAGGAGAAUGCAC
ensembl:lncRNA